rnacentral:rRNA from 1 species
AGAUUGAACGCUGGCGGCAUGCCUAACACAUGCAAGUCGAACGGGAGUAGCAAUACUCUAGUGGCGGACGGGUGAGGAAUACGUAGGAAUUUGCCCUUAAGUGGGGGAUAACCCGGGGAAACCCGGAUUAAUACCGCAUGACCUCGAAAGAGCAAAGUGGGGGAUCGCAAGACCUCACGCUUUUGGAGAAGCCUACGUCGGAUUAGCUAGUUGGUGAGGUAAUGGCUCACCAAGGCGACGAUCCGUAACUGGUCUGAGAGGAUGAUCAGUCACACCGGAACUGAGACACGGUCCGGACUCCUACGGGAGGCAGCAGGUGGGGAAUAGUUGGACAAGUGGGCGCAAGCCUGAUCCAGCAA